rnacentral:rRNA from 1 species
AAGUUUCGAUCCUGGCUCACGGAGUAAACGACUGCGGACGCACAUAAGACAUAGCAAGUCGAACGGACUAACUCAUUCUUUUAGAUUGAGAGCGGUUAGUGGCGGACUGGUGAGGUAACACGUAAGCAACCUGCCUAUCGAAGGGGGAAUAACAGUAGAGAAAUCAUUGCUAAUACCGCAUAUGCUCACAGUAUCACAUGAUACAGUGAGGAAAGGAGCAAUCCGCUGAUAGAUGGGCUUGCGUCUGAUUAGUUAGUUGGUGGGGUAACGGCCUACCAAGACUACGAUCAGUAGCCGGACUGAGAGGUUGAACGGCCACAUUGGGACUGAGAUACGGCCCAGACUCCUACGGGAGGCAGCAGUCGGGAAUAUUGCGCAAUGGAGGAAACUCUGACGCAGUGACGCCGCGUAUAGGAAGAAGGUUUUCGGAUUGUAAACUAUUGUUAUUAGGGAAGAUAAAAGACUGUACCUAAGGAGGAAGCCCCGGCUAACUAUGUG